rnacentral:rRNA from 1 species
GACGAAGGGGGCUAGCGUUGUUCGGAAUUACUGGGCGUAAAGCGCGUGUAGGUGGUUGUCCAAGUUGGAUGUGAAAGCCUUGAGCUCAACUCAAGAAAUGCAUUCAGGACUGGAUGGCUAGAGGACCGGAGAGGAUAGUGGAAUUCCCAGUGUAGUGGUGAAAUACGUAGAGAUUGGGAAGAACACCAGUGGCGAAGGCGGCUAUCUGGACGGUUUCUGACACUAAGACUCGAAAGCGUGGGGAGCAACCAGG